rnacentral:misc_RNA from 1 species
AACCAUAGAAACCUGCGGAGUACCUGCGGAGGGAUCAUUACUGAGUGCGGGUUCCAAUGAGCCCAACCUCCCACCCGUGUUUACCGUAACCGCGUUGCCUCGGCGGGCCCACUGGGGCCUGUCCCCGGUCGCCGGGGGGCAUCUGCCCCCGGGCCCGCGCCCGCCGAAGCGCCCUAGAACCCUGCCUGAACAGUGAGUCUGAGUGAGUGAUUGAAUCAUUAAAACUUUCAGCAACGGAUC